rnacentral:rRNA from 1 species
CCUGGUUACAUGCAGGACCGGGCAUGAAAGUGUCCUUCUCUUCGGAGCCUGUGCACAGGUGCUGCAUGGCUGUCGUCAGCUCGUGUCGUGAGAUGUUGGGUUAAGUCCCGCAACGAGCGCAACCCUCGCCCUUUGUUGCUACCGGGUUAGGCCGGGCACUCUAAGGGGACUGCCCCGGUGAACGGGGAGGAAGGUGGGGAUGACGUCAAGUCCUCAUGGCCUUUAUGUCCAGGGCUACACACGUGCUACAAUGGUCAGGACAAUGGGUCGCUCCCUCGUAAGAGGUUGCCAAUCUCAAAAACCUGGCCUUAGUUCGGAUGGUUGGCUGCAACUCGCCGGCCUGAAGCUGGAAUCGCUAGUAAUCGGGGAUCAGCACGCUCCGGUGAAUACGUUCCCGGGCCUUGUACACACCGCCCGUCACACCACGAAAGCCGCGUGUACCAGAAGUCGCUCGACUAACCCUUCGGGGAGGUAGGCGCCUAAGGUAUGCGUGGUAAUUGGGGUGAAGUCGUAACAAGGUAGCCGUAGGGGAACCUGCGGCUGGAUCACCUCCUUU